UACGUAGGUGGCAAGCGUUGUCCGGAAUUAUUGGGCGUAAAGCGCGCGCAGGCAGCUUCUUAAGUCUGAUGUGAAAUCUUGCGGCUCAACCGCAAGCGGUCAUUGGAAACUGGGAGGCUUGAGUGCAGAAGAGGAGAGUGGAAUUCCACGUGUAGCGGUGAAAUGCGUAGAGAUGUGGAGGAACACCAGUGGCGAAGGCGGCUCUUUGGUCUGUAACUGACGCUGAGGCGCGAAAGCGUGGGGAGCGAACAGG
rnacentral:rRNA from 1 species